rnacentral:rRNA from 1 species
GUAGGUGGCAAGCGUUGUCCGGAAUUAUUGGGGCGUAAAGCGCGCGCAGGCGGUUCUUUAAGUCUGAUGUGAAAGCCCACGGGCUCAACCGUGGAGGGUCAUUGGAAACUGGAGAACUUGAGUACAGAAGAGGAAAGCGGAAUUCCACGUGUAGCGGUGAAAUGCGUAGAGAUGUGGAGGAACACCAGUGGCGAAGGCGGCUUUCUGGUCUGUAACUGACGCUGAGGCGCGAAAGCGUGGGGAGCAAACAGGAUUAGAUACCCUGGUAGUCCACGCCGUAAACGAUGAGUGCUAAGUGUUAGGGGGUUUCCGCCCCUUAGUGCUGCAGCGAACGCAUUAAGCACUCCGCCUGGGGAGUACGGCCGCAAAGGCUGA